GUUUGAUCCUGACUCAGAGCGAACGCUGGCGGCGUGCUUAACACAUGCAAGUCGAACGCGCAGCAUUCUGUAGCAAUACAGGGUGUGGGCGCGUGGCGAACGGGUGCGUAACACGUGGAUAACCUUCCUUCAGGUGGGGAAUAACCCAGUGAAAAUUGGGCUAAUACCGCAUAACAUCGCGAUGGCACAUGCUGUUGCGUUCAAAGGCGCAAGUCGCCAGAAGAGGGAUCCGCGGCCGAUUAGCUUGUUGGCGGGGUAACGGCCCACCAAGGCUUUGAUCGGUAGCCGGACUGAGAGGUUGGCCGGCCACACUGGAACUGAGACACGGUCCAGACUCCUACGGGAGGCAGCAGUGGGGAAUCUUGCACAAUGGACGAAAGUCUGAUGCAGCAACGCCGCGUGGGGGAUGAAGCUUCUCGGAGUGUAAACCCCUUUCGACCCGGACGAAUGCCCGCAAGGGUUUGACGGUACGGGUAUAAGAAGCCCCGGCUAACUACGUGCCAGCAGCCGCGGUAAUACGUAGGGGGCCAGCGUUGCUCGGAAUUACUGGGCGUAAAGGGUCCGUAGGCGGUGCGGCAAGUCGAUAGUGAAAUCUCUGGGCUUAACCCAGAGGCUGCUAACGAAACUGCCGUGCUAGAGUGUGAGAGAGGCGAGUGGAAUUACGGGUGUAGCGGUGAAAUGCGUAGAUAUCCGUAGGAACAUCCGAGGCGAAAGCGGCUCGCUGGAUCACAACUGACGCUGAGGGACGAAAGCUAGGGGAGCAAACA
rnacentral:rRNA from 1 species